AGUGAACGCUGGCGGUAGGCCUAACACAUGCAAGUCGAACGGCAGCACAGUAAGAGCUUGCUCUUACGGGUGGCGAGUGGCGGACGGGUGAGGAAUACAUCCGAAUCUACUUUUUCGUGGGGGAUAACGUAGGGAAACUUACGCUAAUACCGCAUACGACCUACGGGUGAAAGCAGGGGAUCUUCGGACCUUGCGCGAUUGAAUUAGCCGAUGUCGGAUUAGCUAGUUGGCGGGGUAAAGGCCCACCAAGGCGACGAUCCGUAGCUGGUCUGAGAGGAUGAUCGGCCACACUGGAACUGAGACACGGUCCAGACUCCUAAGGGAGGCAGCAGUGGGGAAUAUUGGACAAUGGGCGGAAGCCUGAUCCAGCCAUACCGAGUGUGUGAAGAAGGCCUUCGGGUUGUAAAGCCCUUUUGUUGGGAAAGAAAAGCAGCAGGUUAAUACCCCGCUGUUCUGACGGUACCCAAAGAAUAAGCACCGGCUAACUUCGUG
rnacentral:rRNA from 1 species